CCAGACUCCUACGGGAGGCAGCAGUGAGGAAUAUUGGUCAAUGGGCGCGAGCCUGAACCAGCCAAGUCGCGUGAGGGAGGACGGCCCUACGGGUUGUAAACCUCUUUUGCCGGGGAGCAACGGGCGUCACGUGUGGCGCCACUGAGAGUACCCGGAGAAAAAGCAUCGGCUAACUCCGUGCCAGCAGCCGCGGUAAUACGGAGGAUGCGAGCGUUAUCCGGAUUUAUUGGGUUUAAAGGGUGCGUAGGCGGAUCGUUAAGUCAGUGGUCAAAUUGAGGGGCUCAACCCCGGCCGGCCGUUGAAACUGGCGUGCUCGAGUUGGAGAGAAGUAUGCGGAAUUCGUGGUGUAGCGGUGAAAUGCAUAGAUAUCACGAAGAACCCCGAUUGCGAAGGCAGCAUACCGGCUCCACACUGACGCUGAGGCACGAAAGCGUGGGUAUCGAACAGGAUUAGAUACCCCAGUACG
rnacentral:rRNA from 1 species